CCUACGGGAGGCAGCAGUGGGGAAUAUUGCACAAUGGGCGCAAGCCUGAUGCAGCAACGCCGCGUGAGGGACGACGGCCUUCGGGUUGUAAACCUCUUUUAGUAGGGAAGAAGCGAAAGUGACGGUACCUGCAGAAAAAGCACCGGCUAACUACGUGCCAGCAGCCGCGGUAAUACGUAGGGUGCAAGCGUUAUCCGGAAUUAUUGGGCGUAAAGAGCUCGUAGGCGGUUUGUCGCGUCUGCUGUGAAAACUGGAGGCUCAACCUCCAGCCUGCAGUGGGUACGGGCAGACUAGAGUGCGGUAGGGGAGAUUGGAAUUCCUGGUGUAGCGGUGGAAUGCGCAGAUAUCAGGAGGAACACCGACGGCGAAGGCAGAUCUCUGGGCCGUAACUGACGCUGAGGAGCGAAAGCAUGGGGAGCGAACAGGAUUAGAUACCCUGGUAGUCCAUGCCGUAAACGUUGGGAACUAGAUGUAGGGACCAUUCCACGGUUUCUGUGUCGCAGCUAACGCAUUAAGUUCCCCGCUGGGGAAGUCGGCCGCAAGGCUAAAACUCAAAUGAAUUGACGGCNGAGAGNGCGACGACGACGACGAGGAGAGG
rnacentral:rRNA from 1 species